ACCAGUCAGCGUAUGAAAUAAAGUCCAAUCAGAGAAGGCCUAGAGGUUUUCUCUCAUCCAAUCAGAACAUGUAGUUCAGAAUCCUUGUGCAUAACCCCAUGUGCAUGCUGAGGAGGCCUCACGCCAUCCUAGGCUUUCCUAAAUCGGCCGGCGGAGCUACUCUGUUCCUAGCUUAGCAGAUCAAGAGAAGGGGGAGCUGGAUGCUGGAGCCUGCAACACUGUGGCUCGCCUCGCUACAGUUGGCAGUGGUGACAGAGACAGCAGGCAGCACGGCCAGAGCGGUAGAAGGGAGGAUGGCAGCGGGAGCUGCUCUUGACUGGCUAGCGGUCUAGAAGAAGGGGGGCCCCCUGCUCCACGCUGGAGGCUGGAGCCUUGGCCACCGAGGCUCCUCUGGCUGCGGUUGGUGGUGGCGACCGAGACUGCAGGGAGUGUUGGGCACUGUGGUGUCUCCAGUCCCCACCCCAGGUCAGGAGGCCAGCUUGGGCCAGGAGGAGAGGCUGGACUUUGGCAGGUUUUUCUGGCUUUUCCUCUCCAGCUGUUCCAAGCCAGGCUGGUGAAGUAGGAGUCACCUGUGGUGAGCUGGAGGUUGGAGCCUGUAGAUGGCGUGGCUCUGUGGCUCACUUCCUGUGGUUGUGGCAGUGACAGCGAUGGAGACUGCAGCUCGACAGGAAUGGUAGGAGGGUGCCCGUGGAGGCCAGGUGGAAGGAGCCCUGGAGGGUGGGUGGGUGCAUGGAAGGUGACAGAAGCACUGGUUGUGUUGGCAUCGGCGGUAAUAGUGGUAACAGCAGCAAGUCUGGGGGCCGGGAAGGGGGAGUAGGAGAGCUUUGGGGCCUGGCCUGGCCUGGGGUGUGUAGGAAGCUGCUGGUUCUGUACUGCAGGCCUCAGUGACAGUGGUGGAGGUGCAGCCAGGGCAAGGAGGAGUCCUCCCCUUUCUUCUGCAGUUUCUGGAGGGUGUCCUCCUCCUGCUGGUGCCUGAGCCAGGAGUGAGUGGCAGCAUUGUCUCAUUCUUAACAGAAUUUAGGGGGUGACUAGUUGUGUGUCUUUUUGCUUGUGUUUGUUUUGAUAACUUAUCCCUUAAGGAACAAAAGGCUUCUUUGGCUGGGUUUUGGUGUGGUGGGAUCCCCUUCCCAUGCAAGAUAAAGGGUGCUUUCCUGGGAAGGUGUGUGUUGGAGGGAGUUCAUCAAGGAGAAGAAAGGGAACCUCCCAGGAGGGUGGCUGCUGUGGCAGAUCCCCUACCUCUGGGCAGCCUCUGGGCCACCUAGUUUCUCCUGUGGAAGAAGGGAGGCUUAGACCUGUGUCACCUGUAUCAUCAAAGAGGCAUCCUGGCUGGGCCUCCUGUGGAAGAAGGGAGGCUUAGACCUGUGUCACCUGUAUCAUCAAAGAGGCAUCCUGGCUGGGCCUCCUGUGGAAGAAGGGAGGCUUAGACCUGUGUCACCUGUAUCAUCAAAGAGGCAUCCUGGCUGGGCCUCCUGUGGAAGAAGGGAGGCUUAGACCUGUGUCACCUGUAUCAUCAAAGAGGCAUCCUGGCUGGGCCUCCUGUGGAAGAAGGGAGGCUUAGACCUGUGUCACCUGUAUCAUCAAAGAGGCAUCCUGGCUGGGCCUCCUGUGGAAGAAGGGAGGCUUAGACCUGUGUCACCUGUAUCAUCAAAGAGGCAUCCUGGCUGGGCCUCCUGUGGAAGAAGGGAGGCUUAGACCUGUGUCACCUGUAUCAUCAAAGAGGCAUCCUCCUGGGCCAGUCGAUUUGGCCUUCCCACUUCUUCAGCCCACCUGCCCAUGGUGUCACCUGGGGGAAGUGGAUCCUCACACCACAGGGGCAGAGGCUUCUCCGGCAGGCUGGUUGCUGAAAGGGGUUCUGUCCUGCCUGCUGCUCAGGAGGGAUUCUAUGGCCAGGAACUGAUGCUGGGACUCUCCUGUUCAUGUCCUGCUGCCUCUGUGUUGUCUCUGGGUUCUCAGGGACUCUCAGAUCUGUGAAGACAAAAAGGUUUCCUGGCUAGUUUGCGUGGUGUGGCUGGGGUCACUUUUGCUACAUGCCCCUCAGGCACCCCAGUGCCUCUGGGGAAAAAGGGAAUUUUAGAUUUACUAGAGAAAGAAUGUGUCUAUGUUGGCUGCUUAUUGUUAGCAAACUUCUGAACAGUUCUACUCUAAGAUCAUGGCAGAAUGGUUGCCUCUUGUUGGAUAGACUCCCGCUCCACUGGGGAAGAAACGAGCUUACCUGGACUGUGUUUCUUGC